rnacentral:tRNA from 1 species
CUCCCUGUAGUUCAACGGAUAGAACAAGGGUUUUCUAAGCCCUCGAUGGGGGUUCGAUUCCCUCCGGGGAGA